ensembl:sense_intronic Gm43329 predicted gene 43329
UUGUUGUGGGAACUUUUGUUUUUAUGAGUUCUGGAGCUUAAACUCAAGCCCUUGCGCUUGCAGAUAAACCAUUUUAUUAAUUGGGUAAUAGACUCAAGUCUCUGGGCCAGCAUUUUUUUUUUGUUAAAGAUUUAUUUAUUUGUUUAAUAUAUAUGAAUACACUAUAGCUGUCUUCAGACACACCAGAAGAGGGCAUCAGAUCCCAUUACAGAUGGUUGUGAGCCACCAUGUGGUUGCUGGGAACUGAACUCAGGACCUCUGGAAGAAGAGCUGGUGCUCUUAACCACUGAGCCAUCUCUCCAACCCUAGCAAUUCUUAUGUUAAGAGGAAUAAGUCAUUCUUGGGGAGACAAGCACUUCAUUUUCUUACCCAUACAUGAAUAUAAUCAACUGGGUUUACUAGUGGCUGAGAGUAUAAUGGUGGCUUCCCAGAGACUGGAGGAGUGGAGUAUAGAGAAGGACAGAGUGUGGUAAAUUAAUGGUACAAUGUUACAGCUAAACAGGAAGCCAAGGUAUUCCAGACUGUAGAUAAUGACAGUGUGUUUUAAAAGCUAAAGAAAGAGAUUUAAAUGUUCUCAUCACAGAGAUAACAAACAUUUGAAGAAGUAGUACACAUUGAAACACCACAUGGCAUCUCUCAAAUAGGAACAAUUUUUACGAGUCAGUUAGAUGACUCAUAAAUUAGGGUCGUGCAGAUAAAUUAUCAUGGUCUAUGUAAAGUCCCUUUAUUUUCUUAUUGGUGAUCAAUACUUUGCUACUGAUUAUGAUUUUGUAUAUGAAGUAAUUGGUUGCUUCUCAUAAAAGUUUUAAUAGGCAGUUAAUAUUUAAAGAAUCUAGGAAACAGUAUUCCUCUUUUCCUAGAAUGAACUAAAUAUUUAAAAGAGUGAUUAUUGUCUUAGAUUCCUAUGAGCUGGGCAUUGGUUUGGAUGCUUUUAAUUAGACUUAAUUAGUCUUCAUACCAUUCAGUAUCUGAAACCAGUUUGCUGAUUUUUAUUCCUCUAUUAGAAGGGCUUUAAAAAAAUCACUGUCAUGUUCUUUGAUGUCAUUAGGACUCAAGAAAAAUAAUUGUUAUGACUAUGAAGACCCAGAGGACUCUUGUUUAUACUUAUUUUGUACUUACUUUAAUUAUACUUCCUUUAUAUAUACUUACUUUAAUUAUAAAAAUUUGGUUUAUACUUACUUUAUACUUAUAUUUACUUUAAUUAUAAAAAUUUGGUCUUGGUUUACAAUUCUUCCUGCAUUGUAUAUGAGUGAUGGUGCAUCUCACUUGAUCUUGAGUUCUGUGAAAGGCAGCCUAGAUAGCAUCACUGAGAAAGAGCUGCUUCAGAGUAGAAAGCAAACUGCCAUUUCUUCGUUUUCACUCUGCUGUAUCACAGCUUCUGUGCAUAGUCACUUCCUACAAAGAUUUAAUCUUUGUCGAGCAGUUUUGAGGUUCACGGCAAAGCUGGGCAUACAAUACAAAGGUUCUCACAUGCUGGCUGCACCUCUUCCUCCGUUCACAGCAGUGCCCAGGAGAGCCACUAGGCUGGUGGAUGAGCACAUGGCACAUCAUUAUCACUGAGUGACACACUGCACGAUGAUCAUCUUCUUUCCAUGGGUUUGAACAAACGUGUAAAUGAUAAUGUUGUUUGUACAUGAUAGUACUAUAUUGAGGAAUGUCAAUGCUCUAAAAUGUGCCAGACUCCCCCUUUUAUUUGUUUUGAUUGUAUAUAAAGUAAGAAAAAAACAGUAAGUUCUUUCACAUUGUAUUACUACACUUUUCACCUUAUGGCUUUAAGAUUCAGAAAUACUUGAUUUCAGCAGGUUUUCAAAUUUUAUGAUGUUUAACAAUUAAUUGACUAUAAGUAAAAUUUUGAAUCACAAAAUCUGCUCUGUAUAGUGUGUGCAUAUCUUGUGUGUGUAUGUGCACACAUAUGUGAAGGGCAGAGACAUCCUUGGGCACCCUACAACUUCUCCAAAUAUGCUAGACAAGCUGGCCCUCCAGCUUUUAAGGCUCAGCCAUCUCCACUUCCCAACUUGCUGUCAAAGGACUACAGGUGUUCUCCACCAUGUCCUGCUUUUGACUUGUGAGUGUUCUAGGAACCCACACUCAGGUCCUCAGACUUUCCAGGCAGGAGCUUUACUGAUUCAGCUGUCUCCUCAACUAUGUCUUAGAACACUCUUAGACAAGUGACUCACGGUAGUUGCUUUUUGUCUUCCCCUAUCUCUUUUCUGUUAUUUUUGGGAUAGGAUCUUAUUAGUAUUAUAGGUAUAUGCCACACUGUGCCCUGGUGAACUGUCCAAUUUGAAAAACAAAAGUGAUUUUGUACUUACAGAAGGAAUUUUCAAAACUACCGUGCAUUAUGUCAUAUAAUUCCUGUAGUGAGCUGCAUAUAUAUUUUUACACAUUUCUUAAAUUAAUAUAUAGUUACAUUACUUUCUCUCUUCCUGUUUCUCCAGCAUAUCUCAAGUCGUCUCCUCUUUCCAUUCCCCUACUCUCAAAUUAAUAGCCUCCUUUUCUUUUUAUUGUCAUUGUUAUACAUGUAUAUAUAUAAUCUUGUACACACACACACACACACACAUAUAUACACAAGUGUAUGCAAAUACAAAUGUAUACAUACAAUCUGCUGAGCCUGUUUUUGGUGUUUGUAUGUAUAUGGUUUCAGGGCUGACCUUGUUGUAUUUGGAUAACCAAUUAGGAGGCUAUCUUAGUUACUAUUCUACUGUUGUGAACAGACACCUUGACCAAGGCAACUCUUAGAAAAGGAAGUGUUUACCUGGGGGCUUGCUUACAGUCUUAGAAGGUAGGUGUUUUACCUGCAUCUAUGCCUGUGUAAGGAUGACAGAUCCCCUGGAACUUGUGUUACAGUUGUGAGCUGCCAUGUGGGUGCUAGGAACUGAACCUGAGUUCUUUGGAAGAACAAAUGACUUAACAAGCUGUAGGAAAUUGGCUAGGUUACUAGUGCAAGGCAUGAUUUUCCUCCUGUUGAAUUGACCUUAAGUCCACUUAGCAGUUGGUUACCACCAAGGUGUGUGUGCCAUCUAUUGCCCCUCUAGUGGAGUGCUGUCUCGGCUUCUUUGGUGGCUCAUAGGUACCACAGCUGAGCAGGACUACUUGCUUUCCUUCCUAGGCAGCUUGCAUAGCUUGUAUUUUCAGGUCUGGAAGCUAGACUGUAAGAAGGAGGCUUUCAGGUUAUCUAAUCCAAGUCCUGUGUCCAAAGUAUGCAGUGUCUCAUUCACAAUAUGCAAAAACCUCAAAAAAU